CGCCAGACUCCUACGGGAGGCAGCAGUGGGGAAUAUUGCACAAUGGGGGAAACCCUGAUGCAGCGACGCCGCGUGAGCGAUGAAGUAUUUCGGUAUGUAAAGCUCUAUCAGCAGGGAAGAAAAUGACGGUACCUGACUAAGAAGCCCCGGCUAACUACGUGCCAGCAGCCGCGGUAAUACGUAGGGGGCAAGCGUUAUCCGGAUUUACUGGGUGUAAAGGGAGCGUAGACGGCUGUGCAAGCCAGAUGUGAAAGCCCGGGGCUCAACCCCGGGACUGCAUUUGGAACUGUGUGGCUGGAGUGUCGGAGAGGCAGGCGGAAUUCCUAGUGUAGCGGUGAAAUGCGUAGAUAUUAGGAGGAACACCAGUGGCGAAGGCGGCCUGCUGGACGAUGACUGACGUUGAGGCUCGAAAGCGUGGGGAGCAAACAGGAUUAGAUACCCCCGUA
rnacentral:rRNA from 1 species